UCAUCACGCGCGCGCUAAAAAUAGAAACGGGGUUGGAUCGUGAUCCAGAAAUAGAUAGGGGGCAUCACUCCUAUAAAAGGCACACCAUUCAAGAGUAAGAGUGAGAGGAGCAGAAAAACCCAAGCAGAUUUAUACACCAAAAAAUGUGUUGUUUUUUUUUAGAUGCAACUUGUGUUUCCAAUGAAGAUGCUGCGAAAAUGGUGAGUUGCGUUGCCUUUGCUCUUCCUAUUUUUCAUUGUUGUCAGUUAAUUUUCAAAAUAAAAGAUGCAUUUUUCGUGCAAAAUGUCGGGGCAUCUGCAGGUGGUGGAUUUUAAGAAAAAAAAUAAAAAAAAACACGGUAGUGUCACGAGUGCAGUGAGGAUUUCUGCAGUCUGUGCAUCCUGCUUGAACGGAUGUACGCCGGUCUUGUGUGCGCGCAAGCGACAGGGGGAAUCACCCUUAGUUGUGGUCACCGUGGAUGCUUUUUAUGCACGUUUUAGUGGGUGAAAUUGGAUAUUUUUCACGGCGACGCGGGUAUAGCCUCUGAAAGAAAAAAAAAGGGGGGGGGGGGCGCUUGCGAACCCCGCUGCUGUGCUUGAACAGCGGGGAAGGGAGCUGUCCACCGUCUGUGGUGCUGAAGUGUUGCAGGAUUCUGCACGAAGCAGCCUCACACUCUGGGCAUCGUGAUGCACCAAAUUCUCACGGAGAGGGAUGAUCUCCAUAUAUAUGUAUAGAUAUAGUUGCUUAUUUUGCUUGUGAGCGCGGUGAGCCUCGAGUCGUGACUGCUAAAAGUGAGUAAGGCGCGUGCUGCGUCAGUGGCGUCUGGCUCCGGUGCGCUCUAGACAGAUGGGGGGAAUCGUGACCGGCAGGGAGACGCGGCCAAGAAUGAGAGGCUAAACGGCCCAAUGAAAGCGAGGCGAGGGUGGGGCCCCUCCAGCGACAGCUGCUAAUGAGGAAAACUUUUUUUUCCUCCAAAAAUAAAGAAAUCAGGUGCGCAUCGACGCGUGCGUAAAAGCGCAAAUCCGGUUUUUCCUGACCUGUUCGGAUGUCUGUUUUUGCUGUUGUUGAUGUUGUUGUUUUUAAGGCUAAUAGUUUAAUAGUGUCCUCAGUGGAGGCUCAUGCAAAUGUCAGGUGCGGUGGCCUCCUGCUUAAGUGCUCUUUUCCCCGGUGCAGCGAUUGGUGGCGGACUCCUCGUCCCGGCCAAUCAGAGGACGAGCAUUCCUCUGCUGCGCGUGAAAGUCUGGAUCAGCAGGAAGAUGCCGCCUCUCUCCACCGCCGCUCUUUUUAAUAACACAGCUGCCUGUUGCUGCAAAAGACACAUACAAUUCCAUGGAAAAAAUUAAGAGAUUGAUUCCUGAGAAUUGCUCCAGUCAUAAAUUAUACUUUAGUUCUGAUAUGUAGUUAUUAUUUUUAUUAAGUUGGUGAUUCUAUUGUAUUUUUUUUUACUUGAAUAUGCAUCGAUUCAUCUUGUUGUUUCAAUGAAUACAACAGAAAUAAAGUGUGUUCUCUGUAAAUUGUAACGUUUAGUUUAGAAUAAAUUAUACUUCUGCACUAAAGAAUUAAAACUGAGUGGAAUAUUACAAAAGUUUUAUCUUAUUUUGUAUGUUUAUGAAAAAUGUGUUUUAAUUCAAUGUGUUUCAUGGAAAAAAGUAUAUGUGUAUCCAACCUAAUAGAAGAAAUAAAAGGUGUGUAUGCCAAAAAGUAUUCUGUGCUUCUUUAUAAUGCAGACUCACACAAGUGACAAAUGAAAACAGAAAUAUUUUUCUAAAUACAUUAAUAACAAUAAUUCAAUUUGUUUAUAUUUUAUUGAUAAUUGACACCAUAAACUCUAAAUCUGCUGCCGUUGUUUUAUUUAUGGUAAUAUAUUUUGAAUCAUUUGAUCACUUUAUUGAAACUUUACUCACCAUCAUGAGGACGGCGGAUCCGCUUCGUUUGCCCCGCAGCCUCUCACCGGGAUCAGCAGGUACUGGUCCAUUUGGGUUCCAAACUGAAAUCCAGAUUUCAUUCAUGUUCCAGUGAAAGCUCCCCAGCAAACACUUAGUUCUGUUUACAAGUGCUGCAUUUCUAUUUUUGGACGCAAUGAGCCUUAUGUAACGCUAACAUUAUGGACCACUGCUGUCUGCUCCACUUGAAUGAACUGAGUAGUGUGUGUACAUACGUAUUCAGCUUUGACCAUCAACAAGAAUCAUCUAUUAAUAUCCAUUGAAAAAAAAAUGCAACAAAAAGCAAAAAUGACAUAAAAAGUCAAAUAUUUUUUACUUCAUUCACAACAAUAUUCUAUUGUUACGCAUUAUUUUUAGUUGUUAUUUGUAACAAAAAAUAUUUUUAAUUAAUUUUAGUUUAUUUAUACAAAGCAUCGAAGGUUGUUUAGUAGUAUCUGUAGUUUCCUUUCUUUAUUUAGUGCAUUAUUUGUUUCAUGAAUAAUAAAAAAUAAAAAUACCUUACAAGGAAAUGGUUCAUUAUUACUUUAUCUUUAAUCAAGAAGAUAAUUGAAAACUAAUUGGAGUCAGCACCAUCACAAAAACAACCAAAUCUCUACAUUUUGUAACUUUUUUCUGUAAAAAUAUAAACAAAAUAAUAUAUUUGCAUUAUUUUUUAUUUUUGCAUCAUUUAGUUUUCUUUCUAUUUAUUUAAUGAAAGUAGAGAUCAGAUACAAUAAAUUGUUAUUUACAGUGCACCAUUAGGAAUAAAAAAAUGAAAGAAUGAUGUUUUGUUUACAAUAAUGUAAGAAAAGAGAACAAUAAAAAGUGAGAAGUUGAGCACCUGAAAACCACUUCCUGUUUUUGACUGUGAACAAAGCAUCUGAAUUUUAAAAAACAUCACAGUUUAGAAAUCUAUCGGUGACACACUUCUGUUCGGAGUUGUGUAACUAAUUUUAUUACUCUAUUUUUUUUUACAUGUUUUUUACAGAUGUGGGAUUCUUGAACCCAAACUUUUUUAAUUUCUUCCAAACAGAGCGGCUCCAUUUCCCUUUUUGAAGGACACUGAUGAACCUGACAGACAGACUUUAGCUUAGUAGUUAGAAACAUUUUUUGUACACUCAUUUUAAAAAUGUACCUCAUAAUAUUAUAAAUUUAGCUCUGAUCACAUGUUUCGUCAAUGCUGUUUCCAGAAAACAUAAUUUAUCAAACACUGAAUUUUACUGUUAUUUGGUAAUAAUAACCCUAACUUGUUGUGUGCGACAAUCGUAACAAACAAUAUUUAUUGAUAGAAGGCUGCCAAAGGACUGAAAAAAAUAGAUGCUACUAUUUCAAAUCCAUAUUUUAUUAAAAAA